GGGGUGGGGGCCGGCCGAGCUGACCACGCACAGACCCGGCGCGGCGGCACUGCGGCCCCGGGGCAGCCGGCGCCGGGGACAUGCGCUGAUUCGAUCCCUCCGGAGAAGUUUCCUGAGCUUCUGGGAAGGCCUGGUUUCCCCAAAGGAACGAUUUCUGGUAGAAGUCUGAAGGUCUGACCCAAGAAAAAAAAUCCAGUAUAGCCAAUGAAUUGAGGACAAGAAGGUUUCCAAUCAGCUCCUGCUAUGUGGAUAUUUGUUAGCAAUGACUGAUGUGGAAACUACAUAUGCAGAUUUUAUUGCUUCAGGAAGAACGGGUAGAAGAAAUGCAAUACAUGACAUCCUGGUUUCCUCUGCAAGUGGUAACAGCAAUGAAUUAGCCUUGAAAUUAGCAGGUCUUGAUAUCAACAAGACAGAAGGUGAAGAAGAUGCACAGCGAAAUUCAACAGAACAAAGUGGGGAAGCCCAGGGAGAAGCAGCAAAAUCUGAAAGUUAACACUCCACUUUGAUCGAUCUUCAUCAACACCUGACAAUGUCUCAAAUCUCCAGGCCUGGCUGGAAUGCAUUUAUUUCCAAGAGUGAAAAGGGGGAAAAGAAAAUGGCUGUGCUGCAUUGCAGGAACCUGCUUGCUAUGUUAAAAAUGGGGGCAGAGGCUGUGGCUGCAGACAGACUUUUCUCUACCUCUGGCAUCAGCAAUGGUUGAAAUCAUGUGGCUUGUGUUUGGAUGUCAUUUUUGUACGGAUCCUUUCACUUGACCAUAUGAUUAAAUGCUUGUAGAGAGUAGCACCGACCUAGAUGAUGAUUCUUCCUGUAGCAUCUGGCCCCUCACAAUGUCAGAGGAUUUAAUUAUGUCUAAUCGCAAAGGGUUGGUUGAACCCCAGAGUUUAAAUAUCUCUGGCCCAAGUAUUCACCCAGUAAAAGAACCAUCCAGAAAGCACUGUUUUUAGCAUUAUGUAUCUGUGUGUUCCUGCUGUGUUAUUUACACUGUUUUGUAUUAUACAGUAUAGAUGCUCAGCACUGCCCCCUUCUUUGAUUGCUUAUGAAAAACAAAAAUGAUGUACGUUACUUUGAAUUUUUAUACUACUCAUUUUUAAAAGGGCUGCCUAAAAAUUCUGCUCCAUAGUGUGGUGGUGUGCACAGGACAGAACACACAUUUUUUUAAAACUUUAUCUUUCCCCUUAAUUCACAGCUGAUGAAUUAAGUCUAACAGAUUCAUCAAGGCUCCUUUGCUUAUUAUACAGGCAUUUGAAAAUAUCCAUUAAUGUGAAUAUUACCUGAAUUCAGUCUGUUUGGUGUCUACACAGACCAGAAUUCAAACUGCAAAUUUUGUCUUAUUCCCAAGUGGAGAACUUUUUCCAACAAAUAUUUUUAUUUCCAAUUAUGAGGAUUUUUGAGAAUUGGGGAGGUGGGAAAGAGAAUACAAGAUAAUACUAAGCAUGGGAAAUAUUUUCUUCUAUGGAAUCAAAUUUAUCACAGUGCUGUAUGAUACUAUUAAAAUUUGGAGGACAACUUAUCUCCACGGAGCAGCAAAAGAUGUAGAAAAUGAUCUUUCAAUCAUGUGGACACCAAUCACAAAAGUAAAGCCCUUGUGUUGUGUUUUUCAUGUCUUUUUCAGCCCUAUCAGAUCCAAAUGUUAUUAUGCACUUUCUAAUGUUUGUAAACUUUUACUAAUAAUUAGUGUGAAUUACAUUCUGAUACAAUAAUAAUCAUCAUUAGAAGCUGACAAAAUCCUCAUUAAUACUGUUAGUGGCCUCUGCUGUGUUUUGACAUCAUGGUUCUUAUAUGGAAAGUUUCUAUGAGCUGUGUAAUCCCACUGGUCAGUAUUAUGAAAUUAUUUCUCAGUGGUAAUAUAUAAGGCACCAGUAAUAUGCCAAUGGCUCAUGAAUUACUGGACAAAUGGCAGGCAACAGGAAGACCCUUUGCAAUAAAGACCCCACUUAACUGUCCUUGAGGUCUUAGAUACAAUCCCAUGUGAAGUAGGUUAAGCAGCGUUUCAACAGAUAAUCUAUAUGGACAUACCAGGAACUCAGCCCUCCUUUGUAGUUACAUAAAGGAUGAAAGGUAAGUCUGCCCUCAUCUCCCUUUACAGUACUUUUUGAAUGAGUGGAAUAAGGGCAUGGGUAUCACAUGGUCCUCAAUCACAUAUUACUAGAAAAAAUGUUAACAGUGUGAGUCUUUGAGACAAUAGGAAAGAUUAAAUUUUAGAGUACUUCCUUCUGCUUAACCCAGUAGGAUCCAAAAUGUCCAGUUAACAUUCAAACAAAUCCACCUAUUAGACUCGCAAGUGGGAAAAGAGGUUCCUGGGGCUAUUUUAGACAGUUUCUUCUAGACUAUUUAGCACAUCCAACCCAUACAAUCACUUUUUAAUAUCCUUAUUUAUUAUCCUCAUAGCUUUCUUGUGAUUCUAGGUAAAGUUCUCUUCAUCCUUAAAAUUGUGGAAUUCCAAACUGAUUUCAUGUGAUUCUGUAAAGUUUAGGACUAGUGCUGAGUAUAUGUGGAGGAUUUAUAUUUCUGUGUGAUAUACUAUUAUUAAUGCAUGUGGUAUCAUGCCUGUCUUUGAAUAUAUAAUAGUUGCUAAAUUGUGAAGUCAUAUGGAGCUUUUGAAUUAUUUUUGACCUCUUACUGCUACUUUGUCUGCUAUAUUCAAAUCCAGAGGUAUUCCCAAGCCAGAAAAUAAAAAUCAGCUUUCCAAAACAUUCACAUCCUACAAAUGUUGCUCAGCAAAAGUUCAUAGUAUCUUCCAAAUUUUAUCAUAAUAUCUUUUACUUGCAAGUCAGUAACAUACAAGGAAUUGAAUUUUUAAGGAGAGAAAGAGAGUAGAAAACUAAGACACUGAUUUGAUAAUACACAUUGAAUUCCUGUUAACCAACUGACUUUAUGCUAUUCACUUCACAGCACAUACUAUCCCAUUUAAUUCUCAAACAAUUCAAUUAAAGAGGUAGCGUUAUUCCAUUUCACAAAUAAGGAAAUUAAGGCUCAAUAAGGUAUAACUUUUACAAGCUUGAAAAGCUAAUAAAUGAUGAAUAAAAUUUGAAACUGUGUUUAUCUGUCUCCAGGGAGGUUUCUACUGCACACGCCCUAAAGUUGAAGCCAGUUACAGAGCAUGUUUAUCUGGAAGGGAACUUUUAGAGAUGGACUAGAUCAGCCUCCAUAUUUUAGAGGAGGAAACUGAGUCCCAGAAAGGGCAAUUGUUUUUCUCAAGGUUACCUAGAUGAGCAAUGACACAGAUGUGAGUAGCACUUUUAUCUAAAAAAUAAUAAUAAUAAAUUUAAUUUCAACUUAUUUUUUUGUGGUAUACUUCCCAGAAGACAUUUUUCUGACAUGGAGCCUGUAAACUUAGCAUGGUUCAGACUUUUUAUGUUCCAUGCUACUAAUUUUGUUUAAUUAACUAGAAAUUGAAAUUUUCCGUUUUUCAACUUACUUGCAACAAGUGUAAACUUUUCAAAUUUACCUUUUAUCAAUUGUAAGUAUCCUAUGCUGACAUAUUGAUAUCAUAAAUUCAUAGAAAUGUUUUUCCAACAGAUAAUAGACAGGCAGCCUCCAAUUUUUAGGCAAUAUCCCCAAAGCUGUGUACUGUAAAUGCCCAACACUUGAGUCUUACUCAGGCACAGUGGAAAUACACCGUUUUAGAAGAUGACUGAUAAUGGCUAUUUCUCUUCAGAGAAGCAUUAAGGGGUAAAGAAAUGUAACUGCGGGCAAUAGAGUUUCUGAGUGAAGCCAGUAGUAAUAGGGUGAAAAUGUAUAGCCAUAGGUGAAAACAGGAACGGAUCUAUGUUUAUGAUGUCUUAAUAGGGCCUAAAUUGUUCUUUAAUUACAAGUGGCAGUCUCUGAAGUCAUUUGUGAGCUUGUAUGACUUUUGUAUUUAGCAAUGUUGCAUGCUCACAUAAUUGAUAUUAAAAGUAAUACAUUUUUCUGAAAUGU
ensembl:lncRNA